AGUCGACGGAGUUGUUAUUCAGAAGUUCUUCGGGAUGGAAGGAUAAGAACUUAGUGGCGGACGGGUGAGUAACGCGUGGGUAACCUGCCCUUUUGUGGGGAACAACUUCGAGAAAUCGGAGCUAAUACCGCAUAAUAAUAGAGGAUCGCAUGAUUCUUUAAGGAAAGAUGGCCUCUGAAGAUGCUAUCGCAAAAGGAUGGACCCGCGUCUGAUUAGCUAGUUGGAAGGGUAACGGCCUACCAAGGCAACGAUCAGUAGCCGGCCUGAGAGGGUGAACGGCCACAUUGGGACUGAGACACGGCCCAAACUCCUACGGGAGGCAGCAGUGGGGAAUCUUCCGCAAUGGGCGAAAGCCUGACGGAGCAAUGCCGCGUGAGUGAAGAAGGCCUUCGGGUUGUAAAACUCUGUCCUUAUCGAAGAGAGGUAGGUAUGUGAAUAAUGUACCUAUAGGACGGUAGAUAAGGAGGAAGCCCCGGCUAACUACGUGCCAGCAGCCGCGGUAAUACGUAGGGGGCGAGCGUUGUCCGGAAUCACUGGGCGUAAAGGGCGCGUAGGCGGUUUAAUAAGUCAGUGGUGAAAACUGAGGGCUCAACCCUCAGCCUGCCACUGAUACUGUUAGACUUGAGUAUGGAAGAGGAGAAUGGAAUUCCUAGUGUAGCGGUGAAAUGCGUAGAUAUUAGGAGGAACACCAGUGGCGAAGGCGAUUCUCUGGGCCAAGACUGACGCUGAGGCGCGAAAGCGUGGGGAGCAAACAGGAUUAGAUACCCUGGUAGUCCACGCCCGUAACGAUGGAUACUAGGUGUUAGUAGUUUCGAUGCUACUAG
rnacentral:rRNA from 1 species